rnacentral:rRNA from 1 species
GAUUGAACGCUGGCGGCAGGCCUAACACAUGCAAGUCGAGCGGUAGCACAGAGAGCUUGCUCUCGGGUGACGAGCGGCGGACGGGUGAGUAAUGUCUGGGAAACUGCCUGAUGGAGGGGGAUAACUACUGGAAACGGUAGCUAAUACCGCAUAACGUCGCAAGACCAAAGUGGGGGACCUUCGGGCCUCAUGCCAUCAGAUGUGCCCAGAUGGGAUUAGCUAGUAGGUGGGGUAACGGCUCACCUAGGCGACGAUCCCUAGCUGGUCUGAGAGGAUGACCAGCCACACUGGAACUGAGACACGGUCCAGACUCCUACGGGAGGCAGCAGUGGGGAAUAUUGCACAAUGGGCGCAAGCCUGAUGCAGCCAUGCCGCGUGUGUGAAGAAGGCCUUCGGGUUGUAAAGCACUUUCAGCGGGGAGGAAGGCGUUAAGGUUAAUAACCUUGGCGAUUGACGUUACCCGCAGAAGAAGCACCGGCUAACUCCGUGCCAGCAGCCGCGGUAAUACGGAGGGUGCAAGCGUUAAUCGGAAUUACUGGGCGUAAAGCGCACGCAGGCGGUCUGUCAAGUCGGAUGUGAAAUCCCCGGGCUCAACCUGGGAACUGCAUUCGAAACUGGCAGGCUAGAGUCUUGUAGAGGGGGGUAGAAUUCCAGGUGUAGCGGUGAAAUGCGUAGAGAUCUGGAGGAAUACCGGUGGCGAAGGCGGCCCCCUGGACAAAGACUGACGCUCAGGUGCGAAAGCGUGGGGAGCAAACAGGAUUAGAUACCCUGGUAGUCCACGCCGUAAACGAUGUCGAUUUGGAGGUUGUGCCCUUGAGGCGUGGCUUCCGGAGCUAACGCGUUAAAUCGACCGCCUGGGGAGUACGGCCGCAAGGUUAAAACUCAAAUGAAUUGACGGGGGCCCGCACAAGCGGUGGAGCAUGUGGUUUAAUUCGAUGCAACGCGAAGAACCUUACCUGGUCUUGACAUCCACAGAACUUUCCAGAGAUGGAUUGGUGCCUUCGGGAACUGUGAGACAGGUGCUGCAUGGCUGUCGUCAGCUCGUGUUGUGAAAUGUUGGGUUAAGUCCCGCAACGAGCGCAACCCUUAUCCUUUGUUGCCAGCGGUCCGGCCGGGAACUCAAAGGAGACUGCCAGUGAUAAACUGGAGGAAGGUGGGGAUGACGUCAAGUCAUCAUGGCCCUUACGACCAGGGCUACACACGUGCUACAAUGGCAUAUACAAAGAGAAGCGACCUCGCGAGAGCAAGCGGACCUCAUAAAGUAUGUCGUAGUCCGGAUUGGAGUCUGCAACUCGACUCCAUGAAGUCGGAAUCGCUAGUAAUCGUAGAUCAGAAUGCUACGGUGAAUACGUUCCCGGGCCUUG